ACUGAUCUCCGUCCGUCCGCCAUUUUAAUCAACGCGGCACUUUAUUCGUGUUGAAGUGUUUGACCUUUUAAAACCGGCGUAAUAUAAUCUAUAAUAUAUAUCUCGCGGCGGAUCAAAAUAACUACACAUACUUCAAAAUGCAGGCCGAAGAGCAAGGUGACUUUAGCACCGAUGAGUUUCCCGAAGGCUCCAAAAUAAACGCGAGUAAAAACCAGGAGGAUGACGGGAAAAUGUUCAUUGGUGGACUCAGUUGGGACACCAGCAAGAAAGACCUCACUGAUUACCUGUCCAGGUUUGGAGAGGUCCUCGACUGCACCAUCAAAACAGACCCAUUGACCGGCCGCUCCAGGGGCUUUGGAUUCGUGCUCUUCAAAGAUGCUGAGAGCGUGGACCGGGUGUUGGAGUUGACGGAGCACAAGCUGGAUGGUAAAUUAAUUGAUCCCAAGAGAGCCAAAGCCAUCAAGGGCAAGGAACCCCCUAAGAAGGUUUUCGUUGGUGGUCUCAGUCCAGACAUUACUGAAGAACAGCUCCGGGAAUACUUCGGAGUUUAUGGGGAAAUUGAAAGCAUCGAGCUUCCCACAGACACCAAGACGAAUGAGCGACGGGGAUUCUGCUUUGUGACAUUCGCUUUAGAAGAGCCUGUUCAGAAACUGCUGGAGAACAGAUACCAUCAAAUCGGAUCAGGGAAGUGUGAAAUUAAAGUAGCCCAGCCUAAAGAAGUCUACAGACAGCAGCAGAACAGAGACCGGGGCUUCGGAGGAGGACGAGGAGGCUUCAGGGGCCGUGGUGGAAGAGGACAAGGCUUUAAUCAAGGGUACAACAACUACUACGGCCAGAACUAUGGCGGGGGCUACGGCAACGGAUACAACCAGGGCUACAACGGCUAUUCUGGCUAUGACUAUUCAGGAUACAACUAUCAGAAUUAUGGCUAUGGACAAGGCUAUGAUGAUUACAGUGGUCAACAGAGCAGCUAUGGCAAGGCCUCACGGGACAGCGGAAACCAUCAGAACAGCUACCAGCCGUAUUGAUGAAGUGGCGAAACAAUGCGGGGACUUCAUUGCAGGCCGUGUGUCACCUGACCACGUCAUUCUCUGGGCGUCGCACAUAGCGGGCAGAGAGCACGGCAUGCACGAGAAAGCGCUGUCCUGUGGUGGGCAGGUUGACUUCGACAUUGCUCCUCGGAGGCAGCUUGUGUGGAAUCCUGUCCUUAAACAACUAUUAAAAACGUUAUUCGGUCCUCUGGGGACAAAUCCAGUGUCUAACCUUGUAAAUAGCGAGGUGUUUCGUUUCCAAGUUUGUCUUAUUCUGUGCUUUGUUCAGAUUGAACCUGUAGGUUUUGUGCUGAUGUGUUCUUAAGUCUUGAUUAGGAAAAGUGUCCUUUAUUUUGUAUUUUUAGUUCUUUUCCUGACGUUUUUGGAUAAAGGGAUUAAAAAUUCUGAGAAAACCAA